rnacentral:tRNA from 1 species
AAUCUCAUUAGUUUAAUGGUAGAACAGGAUACUUCUAAUAUUCUAAUUUUAGUUCGAAUCUAAAAUGAGAUUU